AGGAUGGGUGGGCUGUGGAGGGCUGCCUGAGAUCACUAGUUCCCUAACAUCCUCAGUCUUCCUUGGUUGCAGAGUCCGGCAGUGAUGUCCCUGAAUGGCUCCCUUCUGGCACAUGGCUGCAAGUCCAGCCUCGUUGGACACCUCUCUUCUGGUGAAGCCUUUACCCACAUCCACUUCCACACCUUCUGUGGUCUCCACAACCACUUGGAAGCUCAGCUUCAACAUUCAUGGCCUCUACUCAAGCAACUGGGAAUUGCCAGAGAGAACCUCAUCAGGGUGUCAGCCAAAGGAGGGGAUGCACCAAGGGUGCUGCUUGAAUUGACUACAGGCCCAUGUUCUAUGAUGGCAGACGGAGAUGUCAGGAUGGAAAGCAACACCACUCAAACCAACUGGACCCUUUCUCUGGGGAACCAUUGCCCUAUAUUAGAGAAAGCAGGCUUUCCACAGAGCCUGGCCACCAGGGGCUCCUUCAGGGCUGGGUUCUGUGACGGUGACCUGACCAUGGCCCUCCAGAGCGAUGAAGGAGAUGCCCAUGUGCACUUAGCAACUUCUUGCAGACAAAAACCCUUGGUGCAAGGAAGCCUGCACCACUCCUUCAGGCCUCUGAGCCGCCUGGGGCUGCCUCCCAGCAGUGCCAUCCACCUGCAGGCAGGGUUGGGCCCUGCCCCACACAGCUCCUUGACUCUCCAAGUUGGGCAGUGUCGGCUUCAGGGCAGAAUGGAGUUCCAGUCCAGGAACAGAACCCAGUGGGUACUGGAGACAGAGACGGAGUGUGAUCUACUGCAGGACCUUGGAAUCCCCGCCCAGAUGCACCUCAAUGGAUCAACUCAGGUUGCCGGCUGUCAGGUUAAGCUGCUCUGCACCCUCUUGACGGGUGGCCAGACAGCCUUCUUGGAACUCAGGGGAGCGUGCCAACCACAGCUCACCAUCCGGGCCAUAUUCAGGCACACCUUGCCAGAGCUCUGGGCCAUUCCAGAGGAGACCAAGCUGUCUUUUCAAGCUGGAAAACAGACCAAGUACCAGCUGGACCUGAAGCUGAGAUCAGGAGCCUGUGAAAUCCAAGCCAAUGGGGAUCUGCAACUGGAGAGAAAGUUCCAGUGGAGGGGGCUGGUGGAGAAUUCCUGCAAAGCACUGCAGGCUCUUGGGGCCCCACGUCGGAUUGAUGGUUCAGGCUACGUGGUGGUGAACAGUAUGGAUCUGGAUGCCCAGAUGUUGGUCACUGUAGAUGACAGCACCCUUCGAGGCCUUCUCGUCCUGAAGGCCACUGAGACACACCAAGAACUAGACAUGCUGUUUACCCACAACCUCCCUGAUGCUCUCCACUUUGGCAUCCCAACUCGGACCCUGGCAGAUGUGACCACAGUGAGAAGUAACCAUAGUUACAGGCGUACCAUCCGGUUUGGCAUGGACAGCAAGCAGAUUUCUGAAGAGCUCAGCUUCACUCAACAAUCAGACUACAUUUCCCUCGACUACAAAAUCCGACACAAUGUCCCAACAUUGCAGGCAUUGGGGUUAGAAGAUAAGAUAGACUUGCAGGUCUCUCUGGACCACCAAGCAGCCAAGAACUUGAGUGGCAGGGCUCAGUAUGGCUCAGGCAUCAUCAUCUUUGGAGGCCAAAGCCAGAGCACCACAACCAGACAUUCCUGGUCUGGUACCCUCUGGCAUAACUGGCCUGUGUUGUUGCAGUGUGGACUCCCAGAAUCACUUCAGGUUGUAAUGUACCUUCAAGGAACCAGUUUCAACAUUGAUAGCUCCGUGAACAUUCUGGUGGGGCAGACGUCUCUCAACUACACCACGAGCUGUUCUUAUACCAGACAGCAAAUGGCGUUCUCCUGCUGGAGUAGACAUAACAGCAGUGCUCUGAGGGAAGGAACUGGCUACCCAGAGGUGGUUGGCCUCACGGUAGUGCUACAGACACAAGAAACCCAGACCCAGGGCAGCGUGGACAUCCAGGGAGGAGACAGGAAAGUCAGUGUGGAUUUGGCAGCUCUGAUGUCCUUGGAACUAAAUGGGACCCUCAAGCUUGUGGCCCACAUCCAACACACAGUGCCAAUUCUCAGGCAGCUGGGCCUGCCCUUCACAACCCAGUUGUUAUUCCAGGAAAUCCUGGCAGCCAGUGAAAUGAAAACAUCCUUGGAAGUAACCUGUGAGUCUGAAACAAGUCUUCUCAUUCAUGUGAGGGGAAGGAAUCAACCACUCAGAAAAGAACUGUAUGUUACCAGCCAACAGCAUCUCUCCUUCCUCCUCAAUCACUUCCCUAGGACAGCCAAGCUUUCCACCAAGGUGAGUUACUCCAUGAGUGAAGCCGAAAGCAUGAUUGCCGUUGACCUGGAAAAGCACCAUUUCCACGUGGCCACAAAGCUGACAGUUACUGCAUCCAACCUCACUCAAGUGACUGAGCUGAUGCAUACAAUUCCCCAGCUCAAAAUGAUCCCCUGGGAAAUGGUGCUCGUGACCAUGUAUCAGAAAGCCAACGGGACAAGGAGCAUCCAACAGUUGGUACUUUGGGACGGCCAGGAGUUCAAGUUCAUUGGCAGCUACACAGGGCUCUUUCCCAAGUUCUCCAGGAGCGAGCACAUGCAGGUGGAACUUGUCCAUCCUCUCUCCAUCCCUUUUCCUCAACAUUCCAAGAUCACCACGACCCUGCUACACUCAGUUCACAGCCAUCAAGAUAAUCUAGUCAUUGAAUGGAAUGCCAAGGAACAGAAGAAGGCACAAGAUAAGAGAGAAAAGGAAAAUGUGGGACAGAUGAGGAGGACUGCUCCCUAUUAUACACCCUACCUCCUAGAAAGUGGAGUCCCAGUCAGAUCAAGUGAAGAAGUACCUAUUCAUCAUUGACCAUGGGCCAAGCACUGUGUUGAGGCUUUGCAGGCCUCAGGGAGAUUCAAAGUAAUAAAUACUGGCUCAGGAGACCA
rnacentral:lncRNA from 1 species